ensembl:snRNA
AACAUAUUUUUCUUGGGAUUACGCUACUGUCCAAUGAAAUCAUAGUGAGAGUAACACUGCUAAUGACAUUAACUAGAGCUUUGCUUUACUUUGGUGCAAUUCUUGAAAAA